GCUAUACACUCUCGUGCGUUGGCUGGCAGGCAGCCUGCCUGCCUGCCUGCCUCCGUGGCGGCUCGAAGGGAGCCUUUGAUCCGAGGGUCCUUGGCACGGUGAAUGGCUCCGGGAUUUCCGUUGAGCUACGGAGCAUAAGGCCGGGACGGGAAAGAAAAAAAAAAACAGUUGAACAGAUAAAUUUUGCACCGAAAUUCGCAGGCUGCUUUUGGUACGAAUGAGGAUGCGGUUAUUCUUGGAAAGAUGAGAGUUUGGUGCAGAAGAAGCGCGAGUCGGGAGCCAGCGAAUCCCACAAACCGGUGAACAGUGAAACGAAGGAG